GGGAGAAAGAUGUGUCCGUGUGGGCCUGGGGUAUGAUGAGGAAUGGACACUGGAAUCCACAAUGUAAAGUAGAUAAUAAAAAAGAAUUGUGGGAUUAACUCUCUUCCUAAAGGAAUGAGAACAGCAAACCUGUCGUAGUCGUGGAAGUUAUGUUUUCAAACAAUCUUUAAUUUGAUGGGAUUAAAUAGAAAGAAAAUGGAAUUGUGAAAUUUGCAGGAAAGUGGAUAUUCCUCAAAAGUAUAAGCUAAAAGAAUUCAAACUCAGACAGAAAGCCCUGCACAUCCCCUUGGAUGCGAGUUCCAGUGUGAUGGAUACAUGUUCACGCGGGUCCUGCAGGCAGGUCAAGGCAGAUCAGAAAGACUGGUCUGGUGAGAGUAAACUUGGACUUGACCAUGGCUGCUGUUAUUUGGGACUGUUGCCACAUCCACAGAAAUGCAUGGACCAUGAAAGAGUCUGGGUGGUGACACCAGCAGGUCACUAAGAGUGUCACCAGAUUGGAGGAACUAGAAGUGGGAAGCUGUGCCUUCAUUCUUCUUGGUCAAAGACCAAAGCAUUCGUGAAGUUGAGGGUGAAUGAAAGAGAAGUAAAAAGGAAAAGAAAGACAUGACGGCUAUACGUACGCUGGAGGAGAAAGUUUGUCAUAGAUAUGUAUACCCAGAGGCAGACACACCAGGGAAGGAAAGGGAGAGAGAAGAGAGGGGAACCAGCUGCAGCAGCCAGAGACCGAAGAUACAAAAAGCAUGCGUAACCAAAAGGGUGCUAGAUACUAUAUAGUAUCUUCAAAGCAGAGACUUUCACUG
rnacentral:lncRNA from 1 species